UACGUAGGGGGCGAGCGUUGCCCGGAUUUACUGGGCGUAAAGGGCACGUAGGCGGUUCCGUAAGUCUGGUGUGAAAUCUCUCGGCUCAACUGGGAGGCUGCACCAGAUACUGCGGAACUCGAGGACGGGAGAGGAGAUUGGAAUUUCCCGGUGUAGCGGUGAAAUGCGUUGAUAUCGGGAGGAACACCAGUGGCGAAGGCGGAUCUCUGGCCCGUUCCUGACGCU
rnacentral:rRNA from 1 species